UGCUAUGAAGGUGUUCCCUUGAUGCUUCUGC
rnacentral:piRNA from 1 species